rnacentral:rRNA from 1 species
AUGGUCCGGCGGCUGAUCACCACGUACGCUACGCUCACGCCGGAGCGCCGGAGGCAGAUCGAGGAGGAGCUCCGUGCAAGGCGCGCCGCCCGCAUCGCUGUCGGGCUGCCUCCGGACUCGUCGGAGCCAGAGGAGGACGAGGAGCAGCGGGCGGAUGAGGAUGAGGGAGAGCUGCUGCUGGAGCCGAUGGAGGUGGCGGAUCUGGAGGAGGAUGAGGCCGAGCACCCGGAGCAUGGGUUCAACAUGGCGGAGGCGGCGCCGGAAUUCGCCGUCGCCCAGGCCACGGAGAUGGCGGAGCAGCAGGCCAUCCCGGAGUCCAUCCAGUUUGAGGCUUACGUGGAAGCCAACCGGCAGUUACAGGUGCCGUCCGACGCGCUCUUCGCCGUUAUAUGUGGCAGUAAAUGCUCUAAGAAAUGGAUAUACAUAUCUACUACUCACAGCGUUAGCGUUUAUGACACUACACUAUUUUAA